rnacentral:rRNA from 1 species
GACGAACGCUGGCGGCGCGCUUAACACAUGCAAGUCGAGCGAGAACCAGCCCUUCGGGGCUGGGGAAAGCGGCGAACGGGUGAGUAACACGUGGGUAAUCUGCCCUCGGCACCGGAAUAGCCCGGGGAAACCCGGAUUAAUGCCGGAUGGCCUCUCCGCCCUUCGGGGCGGUGAGAAAAGGUAGCUUCGGCCUCCGGCCGAGGAUGAGCCCGCGGCCGAUUAGCUUGUUGGUGAGGUAACGGCUCACCAAGGCGCCGAUCGGUAGCUGGUCUGAGAGGACGAUCAGCCACACUGGGACGGAGACACGGCCCAGACUCCUACGGGAGGCAGCAGUGGGGAAUCUUGCGCAAUGGGCGAAAGCCUGACGCAGCGACGCCGCGUGCGGGAAGAAGGCCUUCGGGUUGUAAACCGCUUUCAGGAGGGACGAAGCCACUCGGGUUAAUAGCCUAGAGGGUGACGGUACCUCCAGAAGAAGCCCCGGCUAACUACGUGCCAGCCGCCGCGGUAAAAC